GAGUUUGAUCAUGGUUCAGAACAAACGCUGGCGGCGUGUCUUAAGCAUGCAAGUCGAGCGGCAAGGGCAGCAAUGCCCCUAGAGCGGCGGACUGGUGAGUAACGCGUGGGUGAUCUACCUUGGGCAUGGGGAUAGCCAUUAGAAAUAGUGGGUAAUACCGAAUACGUUCGUCACCGUGAGGGUGACGAGGAAAGGCGCUACGGCGCCGGCCUGGAGAUGAGCUUGCGUCCGAUUAGCUAGUUGGUGAGGUAAAGGCCCACCAAGGCGAUGAUCGGUAGCCGGCCUGAGAGGGUGUACGGCCACACUGGGACUGAGAUACGGCCCAGACUCCUACGGGAGGCAGCAGCUAAGAAUAUUCCGCAAUGGACGAAAGUCUGACGGAGCGACGCCGCGUGGAUGAUGAAGGCCGAAAGGUUGUAAAGUCCUUUUGCUGGGGAAGAAUAAGCGUGGGAGGGAAUGCCCGCGUGAUGACAUGAACCGGCGAAUAAGCCCCGGCUAACUACGUGCCAGCAGCCGCGGUAACAC
rnacentral:rRNA from 2 species